rnacentral:rRNA from 1 species
CCAAGGCUAAAUACUCCUGACUGACCGAUAGUGAACCAGUACCGUGAGGGAAAGGCGAAAAGAACCCCGGCGAGGGGAGUGAAAAAGAACCUGAAACCGUGUACGUACAAGCAGUGGGAGCACCCUUCGGGGUGUGACUGCGUACCUUUUGUAUAAUGGGUCAGCGACUUAUAUUCUGUAGCAAGGUUAACCGAAUAGGGGAGCCGGAGGGAAACCGAGUCUUAAUUGGGCGUUAAGUUGCAGGGUAUAGACCCGAAACCCGGUGAUCUAGCCAUGGGCAGGUUGAAGGUUGGGUAACACUAACUGGAGGACCGAACCGACUAAUGUUGAAAAAUUAGCGGAUGACCUGUGGCUGGGGGUGAAAGGCCAAUCAAACCGGGAGAUAGCUGGUUCUCCCCGAAAGCUAUUUAGGUAGCGCCUCGUGAAUUCAUCUCCGGGGGUAGAGCACUGUUUCGGCUAGGGGGCCAUCCCGGCUUACCAACCCGAUGCAAACUGCGAAUACCGGAGAAUGUUAUCACGGGAGACACACGGCGGGUGCUAACGUCCGUCGUGAAGAGGGAAACAACCCAGACCGCCAGCUAAGGUCCCAAAGUCAUGGUUAAGUGGGAAACGAUGUGGGAAGGCCCAGACAGCCAGGAUGUUGGCUUAGAAGCAGCCAUCAUUUAAAGAAAGCGUAAUAGCUCACUGGUCGAGUCGGCCUGCGCGGAAGAUGUAACGGGGCUAAACCAU